rnacentral:rRNA from 1 species
CCUACGGAGGCAGCAGUGGGGAAUCUUGCGCAAUGGGCGAAAGCCUGACGCAGCCAUGCCGCGUGAAUGAUGAAGGUCUUAGGAUUGUAAAAUUCUUUCACCGGGGACGAUAAUGACGGUACCCGGAGAAGAAGCCCCGGCUAACUUCGUGCCAGCAGCCGCGGUAAUACGAAGGGGGCUAGCGUUGCUCGGAAUUACUGGGCGUAAAGGGAGCGUAGGCGGACAUUUAAGUCAGGGGUGAAAUCCCAGAGCUCAACUCUGGAACUGCCUUUGAUACUGGGUGUCUUGAGUGUGAUAGAGGUAUGUGGAACUCCGAGUGUAGAGGUGAAAUUCGUAGAUAUUCGGAAGAACACCAGUGGCGAAGGCGACAUACUGGAUCAUUACUGACGCUGAGGCUCGAAAGCGUGGGGAGCAAACAGGAUUAGAUACCCUGGUAGUCCACGCCGUAAACGAUGAUUGCUAGUUGUUGGGAUGUUUACAUCUCGGUGACGCAGCUAACGCAUUAAGCAAUCCGCCUGGGGAGUACGUCGCAGAUAAACUACAAGAAGUAGAGCGNGAGACGNGCCGACGACGACGACGAGGGAGUAGG